CCUACGGGGGGCAGCAGUGGGGAAUAUUGGACAAUGGGGGGAACCCUGAUCCAGCGACGCCGCGUGAGUGAAGAAGUAUUUCGGUAUGUAAAGCUCUAUCAGCAGGGAAGAAAGAAAUGACGGUACCUGACUAAGACGCCCCGGCUAACUACGUGCCAGCAGCCGCGGUAAUACGUAGGGGGCAAGCGUUAUCCGGAUUUACUGGGUGUAAAGGGAGCGUAGACGGCAGUGCAAGUCUGGAGUGAAAGGCGGGGGCUCAACCCCCGGACUGCUCUGGAAACUGUACGGCUGGAGUGCAGGAGAGGUAAGUGGAAUUCCUAGUGUAGCGGUGAAAUGCGUAGAUAUUAGGAGGAACACCAAUGGCGAAGGCGGCUUACUGGACUGUAACUGACGUUGAGGCUCGAAAGCGUGGGGAGCAAACAGGAUUAGAUACCCUUGUAGUC
rnacentral:rRNA from 1 species